AACGAACGCUGGCGGCAUGCCUAACACAUGCAAGUCGAACGAGACCUUCGGGUCUAGUGGCGCACGGGUGCGUAACGCGUGGGAACCUGCCCUUAGGUUCGGAAUAACUCCCCGAAAGGGGUGCUAAUACCGGAUAAUGUCUUCGGACCAAAGAUUUAUCGCCUUUGGAUGGGCCCGCGUUGGAUUAGCUAGUUGGUAGGGUAAAAGCCUACCAAGGCGACGAUCCAUAGCUGGUCUGAGCGGAUGAUCAGCCACACUGGGACUGAGACACGGCCCAGACUCCUACGGGAGGCAGCAGUGGGGAAUAUUGGACAAUGGGCGAAAGCCUGAGCCAGCAAUGCCGCGUGAGUGAUGAAGACCUUAAGGUUGUAAAGCUCUUUUACCCGGGAUGAUAAUGACAGUACCGGGAGAAUAAGCUCCGGCUAACUCCGUG
rnacentral:rRNA from 1 species